rnacentral:piRNA from 1 species
UACAGAAUGCCACAGACUGAGAGAGAUGA